UGACAAUGCCCUGGUGGAGUCAAAGCACCUACUAUGUGUGGGGUCUGAGCUGAAUUCUGGUGGCUGCAGGGAGAGUGAUACCUGAAGGCCUCGGCUUCCAAAUGACUCCAAAACUGCUGAGGGGAGGAGACAGGAGACCCUACAGUGAUAAUUCUGCUACCCAAGGAGGUGUGGAGCGAGACCAAGCAACUUAUCAGGUCACACAGCAAAGUCACUGGCAGUGAAGCAAGGAUGCCCCUUUCUGCCUGACCCUCCUGGCUUCCUGUUUCAACAUCUUUGGAGCUUGUGGAGACGUCUGUCCCACCUGGUGCUCUCCACACUGCCAACUGUGACCCCACCAGUGUCGCACAGCGAUGGGUCUGCCUGACUGGACUGGAACCGAGAGCCAAGAGCACUUGCCUAAAAAGUCAACAUGGGAAGGCCAAUAGAGAGUCUACCCAGGAACCUGCAGACAUCUGGGGCAAACACUCUAUCCCUGGUGGUAGCAGUGUGAUCACCUUCUGGUCGUCAUACUGGUGAGGAAGUUAAGGAGCUAUUCUGACUGCAUUUCACAGCAGCAGCUGGUCCCACACAGGAGGCACAGCCCUCCUUCCCUGGAGAAUGCCAGCUAAUGAUGCAGAAGGAGUCGGAUUAAGAAACCAGCAUUCAACUGCCCAGCAG
ensembl:lncRNA